GAGGCAAGGAGAUCAUUAUGAGUUUGAGGCCAGACUGAGCUACAGAAUAAGAUCCUGUCUCCACCACACAAACAUCAUGCAACCGAAGAAUAACUUGGGAUCAUAGUACUGGUCUAGUGUUGUGUGUCUGGGCAGAUUUCCCACUGACCAGCCUCCAAAUUCCCAGCCAUUA